rnacentral:rRNA from 1 species
AACGUACGCUGGCGGCACGCCUAACACAUGCAAGUCGAACGAAGUAGCAAUACUUAGUGGCAGACGGGUGAGUAACAUGUAGGUAUCUGCCCUUUGGCCUGGAAUAACACGAGGAAACUUGUGCUAAUACCGGAUAAGUCUUUACGGAGAAAGCUUUAUGCACCAUUGGAUGAGCCUGCACUUGAUUAGUUUGUUGGUGGGGUAAUGGCCUACCAAGACUGUGAUCAAUAGCUGAUUUGAGAGGAUGAUCAGCCACAUUGGGACUGAGACACGGCCCAAACUCCUACGGGAGGCAGCAGUGGGGAAUCUUGCACAAUGGAGGAAACUCUGAUGCAGCGAUGCCGCGUGAGUGAAGAAGGCCCUUGGGUUGUAAAGCUCUUUCGUCGGGGAAGAAAAUGACUGUACCCGAAUAAGAAGGUCCGGCUAACUUCGUGCCAGCAGCCGCGGUAAUACGAAGGGACCUAGCGUAGUUCGGAAUUACUGGGCUUAAAGAGUUCGUAGGUGGUUGAAAAAGUUAGUGGUGAAAUCCCAGAGCUUAACUCUGGAACUGCCAUUAAAACUUUUCAGCUAGAGUAUGAUAGAGGAAAGCAGAAUUUCUAGUGUAGAGGUGAAAUUCGUAGAUAUUAGAAAGAAUACCAAUUGCGAAGGCAGCUUUCUGGAUCAUUACUGACACUGAGGAACGAAAGCAUGGGUAGCGAAGAGGAUUAGAUACCCUCGUAGUCCAUGCCGUAAACGAUGUGUGUUAGACGUUGGAAAUUUAUUUUCAGUGUCGCAGGGAAACCGAUAAACACACCGCCUGGGGAGUACGACCGCAAGGUUAAAACUCAAAUGAAUUGACGGGGACCCGCACAAGUAGUGGAGCGUGUGGUUUAAUUCGAAGAUACGCGCAGAACCUUACCAACACUUGACAUGUUCGUCGCGACUCUAAGAGAUUAGAGUUUUCGGUUCGGCCGGACGAAACACAGGUGCUGCAUGGCUGUCGUCAGCUCGUGUCGUGAGAUGUUGGGUUAAGUCCCGCAACGAGCGCAACCCUCACUUUUAGUUGCCAUCAUUAAGUUGGGCACUCUGAAAGAACUGCCAGUGAUAAGCUGGAGGAAGGUGGGGAUGACGUCAAGUCCUCAUGGCCCUUACGUGUUGGGCUACACACGUGCUACAAUGGUAUCUACAACAGGAAGCAAGACUGCGAAGUUAAGCAAAUCCCUAAAAGAUACCUCAGUUCGGAUUGCACUCUGCAACUCGAGUGCAUGAAGCUGGAAUUACUAGUAAUCGUGGAUCAGCGUGCCACGGUGAAUGCGUUCCCGGGUCU